CCGGCAAUGCAACAAUACUGUAGACCCAUGACUGAAAAGAGAGUUGAAACCACAUUAUUAGUUGCAGAUUUUUCUUUUCCAUUGUUUGUUUUCUCGGAACUCCUCUUCUUGUUUCCUUUACUUUUUUAUUUGUUGCAUGUAACAUGCAGUGAAGAGAGAUAAUCAAACUCUGUCAGCUAUGAGUAUGAAGAUAGGUUCCUUCUUCGCUUUUCUUUUUUAUGAAAAGUUUUAUUUUUAAUGCAUGAGUGCAGAUCACUGGCAAGAGGAAAAGGGUUUCAACUUCAUCAUGUAGUGUCUGCAAGUUGAUCGUGAGCAUGUCUGGAAACAAGAUUAAAUUUGCAUGGACCAAAAGAUGCUAAUUAUUGAGUACUUUCAAUUAUUAUAUAGGUCAAGAACCUCUGCUGGAUAAGCCGCAGCAAAGAGAUAUAUUCCUUUCUUUUUUACUUGAAAUCUUGUUUGGGAUUGACUUGAAUAUAAAUGAUUAUGUAAGUCAAGAAUAUUUAUCUGAUGAUGAGAAUCAUAAACA
rnacentral:lncRNA from 1 species